UCCAACAUCUGCUACUAACAAUCUACCUGAGCAGGCUGUAAAAUAACUAAUAAGGAGACCCCAUGGUUGUUCGCUUAUUUGGAUUGCGACUUCUUUGAAAAGAAGAGGGCACUUUGGUACCUGAGAUCAAAGAGGAGGGUGAGAAGGGUGAGAAGAAAUGAAAGAGGAAGAAGAGGAACAAGAAGAGCAAGGAGGACGUUGCCGGUGACAAUGUGGGAGGUGCUUAGUUCCUCAUUUUCAGCUUUU